rnacentral:sRNA from 1 species
UCGCCAAAAACUCCUGCCAUUCACAGC